rnacentral:snoRNA from 1 species
GAAAAUGAUGAAAAAAUUGUACUACUGAACUUUGAAAAUGUGAAGAUUUCUACACUUGGCCUGAGCUCA